AUAUUUUUGCGGGGGGACUGCUUGCAGUUGAGAAGGUUAAACCUGACCCAUUGAACCUGUCAGUUAACACUGGUGAAGGGAAGCAGUCUUUUAUUUUGA
rnacentral:ncRNA from 2 species